GACGAACGCUGGCGGCGUGCUUAAUACAUGCAAGUCGAACGGAAAGGCCCUGCUUUUGUGGGGUGCUCGAGUGGCGAACGCGUGAGUAACACGCGAGUAACCUGUCCUUGUCUGCCUGAUAACUUCAGGAAACUGGGGCUAAUAUCGGAUAGGAUCUCCUGCUGCAUGUGGGGGGUUGGAGAGUUUCGGCGGUUGGGGAUGGAUUCGCUGCUUAUGAGCUUGUUUGGGAGGUAGUGGCUUACGAAGGGUUUGACGGGUAGCCGGCCUGAGAGGGUUACCGGCGACCUUGGGACUGAGGUACGGAGCAGACUGCUACGGGAGGCAGCAGUGGAGAGUAUUGCGGAGUGGGCGGAAGCGUGAUGCAGAGGCGCCGCGUGCGGGAUGCCGGCCUUCGGGUUGUGAACCGAUUUCGCCUGUGACGAAGAGGGAGUGACGGUAAUGGGUAAAGAAGCACCGGCUAACUACGUG
rnacentral:rRNA from 1 species